rnacentral:miRNA from 1 species
AAUUAAGUUUGUUCUGGUAUAAGCUUUUGUGUGCCUGCACACUUCUUUAGAUGUAACAUGUAUCUGAAGAAGUGUGCGUGCACAUGAAAGCAUAUACCAGAGCAAACUUAGUUGGU